rnacentral:rRNA from 1 species
AUUGAACGCUGGCGGCAUGCCUUACACAUGCAAGUCGAACGGCAGCACGGGUGCUUGCACCUGGUGGCGAGUGGCGAACGGGUGAGUAAUAUAUCGGAACGUACCUUAUCGUGGGGGAUAACGCAGCGAAAGCUGCGCUAAUACCGCAUACGCCCUGAGGGGGAAANCGGGGGACUAAGCAGCAAUGUUUGGCCUGCGCCUUUGGAGCGGCCGAUGUCAGAUUAGGUAGUUGGUGGGGUAAAGGCCUACCAAGCCGACGAUCUGUAGCUGGUCUGAGAGGACGACCAGCCACACUGGAACUGAGACACGGUCCAGACUCCUACGGAGGCAGCA